CAAUAGCGUAUAUUUAAGUUGCUGCAGUUAAAAAGCUCGUAGUUGGAUUUCGGGUGGGAAUGGCCGGUCCGCCGUUUCGGUGUGCACUUGCUACGCCCACCUUGCUGCCGGGGACGUGCUCUUGAGUUCACGCUCGGGACACGGAGUCGGCGAGGUUACUUUGAGUAAAUUAGAGUGUUCAAAGCAGGCUUAUGCCGUUGAAUAUAUUAGCAUGGAAUAAUAAGAUAGGACUUUGGUACUAUUUUGUUGGUUUGCGCACCAAAGUAAUGAUUAAUAGGGACAGUUGGGGGUAUUCGUAUUCCGUUGUCAGAGGUGAAAUUCUUGGAUUUACGGAAGACGAACUACUGCGAAAGCAUUUACCAAGGAUGUUUUCAUUAA
rnacentral:rRNA from 1 species